ensembl:ncRNA lncRNA:CR45465 long non-coding RNA:CR45465
AUACAAAAUUCCAGCUUGUAAGCCAUCUGGUCAGCUGCACAUUUCCGGGUAUUGACCGUCAAAUAACCAAAUGCGAUCGAGCGACCGAUGGAUGCGGUUCGAGUAGGGUAUGCGUUCCCUGCGAUCAGUGUGUCGAUGUGACCAAAAAAGCAACACACACACACACACGAAAAUGAACGUAAAUAAAUUCAUAUGCGUCAACGAUCCCCGAAUUCAGUUGGCUCGAAUUGAGUUGGCCGGGUUGAUGGUCCGCAUGCAAAUGGCUUACAUCGAUCGACCAAAAGGCCAGCCAAACAGGUACCAUCCAUUUGGCGACGAGUUGGAGUUGGAAGACCGUCCUUUCGUCCAAAGUGCCAGCCAAAAAUUGAGACUUCAAGGCUGAAGAGGACACGCCAUGGGCGUAGUUUCGGUCUGGAUCUGUAUCUUUAAAUUAUACUAUAUAUACAUUGCAUAUAUGCAGACGGACGGAUGAAAGACUUGGUAAUGAGUAACACACCCAAUUAGUUGGAAGGUAAUGUCUUAAACGCCACUCCCGCAAAUC